rnacentral:rRNA from 1 species
AAUGAACGCUGGCGGCAGGCCUAACACAUGCAAGUCGAACGAAGCCUUCGGGCUUAGUGGCGCACGGGUGCGUAAUGCGUGGGAAUCUGCCCUUGGGUUCGGAAUAACAGUUAGAAAUGACUGCUAAUACCGGAUGAUGUCUUCGGACCAAAGAUUUAUCGCCCAAGGAUGAGCCCGCGUAGGAUAAGGUAGUUGGUGGGGUAAUGGCACACCAAGCCGACGAUCCUUAGCUGGUCUGAGAGUAUGAUCAGCCACACUGGGACUGAGACACGGCCCAGAAGCCCGCGGUAGGAAGCAGUGGGUCAGAUUGGACCAUGGGCGAAAGCCUGAUUCAGCAAUGGCGCUUUGGUGAUGAAGGCCUUAGGUUUGUAAAGCUCUUUUACCAGGGAUAAUAAUGACAGUACCUGGAGAAUAAGCUCCGUCUAACUCCGUGCCAGCCGCGGCCGUAA